rnacentral:piRNA from 2 species
UACAUCGGAUUCAUCCUUACCCUCAACGAA